rnacentral:lncRNA from 1 species
CACAGUAAAGAUCUUUUUCACUUGCUGAGGGAGAUGAAACACCUUCAAGAAAGAAAGAUUUUAUUGUAUAUCCCUUUUCCUCGAGGUUGAAGAUACCCCUGUACACACUAAGAUUUUUGUGACAGAAAUGAGAUCGCAACAUUUUGGUGUGUUGAGAACACUACUCCCCAAAUGCAAAUAACCUGGAAGUAGAUUUGGUAAGUAUGAGAAGGACAAAAGCCCAACUGAAAGUCGAUUGUGUCAUUUUUACCAUUCUUUUAAAUUUAUGCUAAAACAGCAAUUUUUUUUCUUAUUUCUGGGGGUAUUCAAUAAACUUUUCGGCUUCCUUAUAUUCACACUCAUUAAGCCAAUUAUAGAGCAAUUCUGUAAUAUUUAGUCUCCUACAGACAUCAUAUUCUAGUCCUGGGAAAGUACAUGACUUUGCUCUGCAUUCUUAGGAAAGCCUUCCAGGAAUCUUAAUUUUACGUCUUACAAAUAUAUUUUUCUGUUGCUUGAUAUUUCCUUUCAAACUUGCCUUUUUGAAAGGAUUAUGAGAUAGACAGAAAAAGUAAAUUUAAGAAUUGUAGAGUAUAAAAGAGAGGUUUUUCUGCCUCAUCAAAAUCAUACAGAAUUCCAGAAGACAACCACUUCUGUAACGAUCUUUAUUUCAGUUAGUUCUCAGGUAUCUUCGCCUAGACAUUUUUGAUGUAUGCAGAAAAAUCUGCAUGCUACAAGAUGAGUUGUGUUAUGUCAAUAAUUAAGUAGUUUUUUGCUAUGUAUUUGAAAAAAAAAAUAUUAGACUUAUUUCCAUUUGUGAACCCUAGCUUAGAGUGUGCAGAAACAAUAUUUGUUUACAGCAAGGAAAUAAAAACAAAGAACAAAACAAAAGCUAUGGAUUUUGUUGUGAGAUGACCAACAUGCUAUAACUUGUUUUGCUUAUUUUUUAAUUAGUUUUUGAUCUUUACCUGUAACAUUUUUUUUAAGUAGGUGACAUCAUUCCCAGCUUAAGCUUCCCUUUUUCUCUCUUUUCUCUCUUUUGUUUUUAAACUAUUGUGUGUCUAUUUAAUUCCAGUAAAAAAGGCACUUAAUGUAGGCUAUAUUUAGUCCAAUAAACUAAUGAUGGAUUUGGCUACAGCUCUCUGGAGCUGUUUCUAUUAAUUUCCUAAUAAAUUAUGAUAUCUGAUAGGCUCUUAAACUUUUGCCUGCUUAAUUAGUUGUCAGACAGUAAGAGAUGCCACUCAUUGUUUUCAUAUUAGUGAGAGAUAAAACACUGAAGUAAACUGUGGAUUAAUUAGAAUUACCUUCCUGGGAAUAGUUUUUUGCACACCAUUCUAAGGUAGGGAAAAUGGAUUUGAACACAGCUCUUGUGACAAGACACCCUAAUAGUAACACAGCCUGGGACAAACCUUAAUUGCUUUGUCAUUAUUUAUUUGAUAUGAUGCAGGAUCCUGGAUUAGCACCUGAAAGCAUACAUAACAAGACACCCUUUAAAAAUUAUUUAUUUUUUCAUUCUAUUGGUGCAGUAUCACAGAAUUGCUGAAUUGGCUGAACAAUUAACAGAUUUUACUUGAAAUUUAUGUAUAAGUAUGCAUGUUUUCUUUUCUUUUCUCUUUUUCUUUUCUUUCUUUUCUUCUCUUUAAUAUACGCACCAAUUACUUUAUUUCAUGUUUUUCUGUAUAGAAGCUAUUGCACACACACUACUUGCUAAAUUAAUCAAUACAACACCUUUUAGCCUAUUUCAUGUAGUUAAAACCUGUGCCGCCCCUGAAGAUCUUAAUAGCUCUCCCUAGAAUGUUUUCCAGCCUUAUCAUUCCUAAAUAAUAGAUUUUCAGAACUGUGUAGUAUUCCAGGGCUUUCUACAACUUUUUCACUUCUGUUAAUGAUCUUGUUAUGGAAAACCAUAACCAAGAAAACUCCCUAAACCAAAUGAUAGUGUAGAAAGUCAACAGUGCUUUACUACAUUACUAGGUGAAUGAGAAUUUCUUCACAAAGUAUGCACACACCAGAGCUAAAUCAGCCCCCUUAUAUAUUUUUAACAUAUGAAUAAUCAUGCAAUUUCAGUGAAGUUCCCACCUGUAUGGGAAUUGCUAAGUCACGGCCUGAAACAAUGAUUGAGCACAUCAUGAUAGCCACAGGAUUAUGGCUGUCACCCUUUUUUUGGGUUGUUUAAAACUUGUUAUCUGCUAUUGCCUUUCCCUACACCACCUAUUCUCAGAAUCAUCACGCAUACUAAAUCUAACAUUGCACCUACACUCCUGUUCAGUGAAGGGGUUCUUGCAAAGGGUCUUUGUUGGCGUAUAAUCAAAAAAUAUACAGAGUGGUGUGGUUAUAAGGAUCUUGUUUUUAAUCUAUGGGUACUACCUAAGUUGUUUAAAUCUUUAGUAUCCGUUUGCUGACCUAACACUUCCUUCCCUCUGUUUAAAAAUACUGUAUCCAGGGUAUCCUAAGGUUUUGCUGUAGUAGAUGUCUGAGGUUAGCCUGUAAAGGCGUCAUAUUUAAUCACAACUUACAUUGCACGUAUUUUCAAACUUAAGCAGUUCUUCCAUGACACUCUUCUAGUACCGUGACACCUAAAGAUGCAUUUUCACAUAUUUUUCUAAACUUCGCUUUUGAAUAUAAGGUCUUAAACUAAUUUUGAAGAAAACUCAUUGUUUGUAUCAAUGGUCUAAUGUAUUUCUCUUUUACUUUGUGGUCUUCUGUUCUGCAAGUUUACCGCAAGUAUUUAGUUUGUUUGUUUUUACUGGCUUGACACCCCAAAAGUUCUACAAGUGCUAUGCAGCCAAUGCUAUGCUGCAAACAGUGCAAGUGACUGACUCAUUUGUCUGUUGACAAGAUUACUACACUGACGGAUCAGUCAGGUGGUCUUUGUAGCAAGCUGCAUGUUGCAUUAGAGGCCUUCACAAUUGUAUUUACAGUACAGAAAUGAUUUGCAGGCUUUGUGCCUUAUCAUGGAUUGUUUGCUUAAAUUUAAAAUGGAGUUUAUCUUGACUGCUUGUUCAAGGUCUGUGGCUGGGAGAUGAGUGGCUUACACUCAUCAGUGAAGGAUCUGGAAGGACUAUUAGCAGAACAAUGCCUCAGAGGAAGCCUUAAUUAAAGAACAGUAUGUUGAGAGAUUGUCUAUACUCUACUUACAAAAAACUUCACAAUUUUCUAUGACAAUGUUUCUACGCAUUGUAGGAAUGGUUAAAGGUUUGAGGACCCAGAGAAAUUACUGAUAAUAUGAAGUCAUAUAUUAAAAGUAUUUAUUUGAAUCAUUUAUAAUAUUUUGUUCUUGCUGGUGUUUGGAAUAUCUUUAUUUGAAGAGAGGUUUGAAGGGCAGUGUUUUAAAAACAACGUGCUGGUAAUGGUUAUAGUUCUGCAAACACUGACACAAGAAACUUCAUUGUAAUUUUAUGAUCUUCUAAUAUACAUGUAUGUCAAUAUCUGUUUAUAUAUGUAUAGAUUGUGAAAAAAAAAUGGCUUAUGUAAUUAAAUACAAGCAAGAGGACUGUCUUGUCUAGGUUUCUAAAAGUGGAGUGAAAAAAAAAGUGUAGAAAGAGAUUUGGGAUGAGGAAUGUUUUCUCAGGGAUGUUAAAUGCUUUUUGAUCCUGGACUCCCUGUAGCUGUGAUAUAGGUUUGUUUGUUUAACAACUGGAAUCCUUAUAUUACUUGAAGGAUCAAUAUAUUAGUUUAGUAGAAGGAACUAAUGAGUACUAGUUCUAAAACUUUCCGUUUCAACUUUGCUUGGCAUAUGAACAGCCUUGUUUCCUCAAUGAUUCUGACUCACAAAAAACACUGGAGUCAUAAUAGACUACUUUUGUCUUUUUGCACCCACCAGAUGCAAGGACAUCUUCCUCAUAUUUCACCUGUAUUAUUUUUGAAGUUGUUUAAUAUGGUCUAACUGUAAGAGAUUAUUCUUUUAUAUAAUUGAUUCAAAGUUUGCUGAGGAACAAGUCCAGGCAAGUCCUGGGCAAAAGUAGAGAAAUUUCUGUCUGGAGGACACUGAUGGACAGGUCCUGGCUAAGGGUUGUGAAAUCCUUUAAGGAGCACAGGUGGACAAGGCCAGGGGCAACAACAGAAGGAUAAGCUGCUGAUAAUGGCCGAGAAAGGGUCUUUUGUGCGGACUUAUCUCGAGGAAGAUGGCCAUCUCAGGAGGUAUGCACAUGACUCUUGCUCAAGCACCCAGGGAUGUCGCAUAGGCAGGAAAAAAGGAGGAUAAAAGAGGGUCCAACAACCAUGAGGAGAGGUUUCUGCUAUCAGAUCCCUCACUGCGAAAGUCCUGAAUGCUGACGGACACAAGGUUUCUGCCAUCAGAUCCCUCACUACAGAAGGCCUGUAUGCUGAUGGACUCGAGGUGUCUGCCAUCAGAUCCCUCACUACGGACUGCAUGCUGACGGACUUUCCUGGGCCUGAUACCUGAGACCUGCUGCUUCCUCCUGGACUUACUCUGUGGCUUCUUCCUGGAACCACCCAGUACCUGCACGCUCUCAUUGCCCAAGACCAGCCUCACUGCUCCUGCCCUUCGGCCUCAGACCAUCGGAACAGAGUGCAAUGGGUCUACUGCUGGAUCCUGGUGGUGACUAUCCCUGCUUCACGCAAUUCUUGCUUCUUCUUAUCUUUUCUAUCACUCGCCUUCUCUUCCCCAUCACCCCAAUCUGUAAUAGUGUCCGUCCUCCCCUUUCUUCAUCUCCGUUAUUAACAUUUGUAAUAAACUGGUCAGACCAACAUUUGAACCGUUGUUUCUUAAUCUCACGCCAGGUACACAUACAUCAAAGAACCUCCUCUCCCUCCUAUAAAUUGGAGACACCAACAAGCAAUGGAAGUUUGCUAAAUUGAGCAGAAAACAGCUAAAGAUCAGCCAAAAUUAUUUUUGAUAAAGCUGAUGGUGGUGAAAUGGGGAUAAAAUAAGUCGCUGAAAGCCACUAUCAUGCGUGCCCAGAGGGACAUUAGCAUAUAUUGAUGAAUUCUUGGAAAGGAAUCAAUAUGCAUAGCAAUGUACAGCAUAUAUAUGUCUUAAAUGCUUAAAUGUAGAGCCUGAACUCUAAGAGAGCAUGCUUGUUUUGUCAAGUUUUCGGGUACAUAUCAGGAGGUAUAAAGGAAAACCACUUUCUAGCACCACAUUAGAGUUAGAGGGCUUUCUUCCUGGAUUUUGGAUGACAGUUGGAUUUGAAAAUAAUGUGCGUGUUGCAAUUGUGUGUACUGAAUUGAUAAUUUAACAAAUAAUUACAUUUUUAACUUUUGUUUUGUCUUUGAACAAAAGUUUAUUCCCUCCUUCUGCUUAUGUAGAAAUGUAAACUAUUUCUAAACAUGUUUUAGAGACAACUCCUAGAAAGCUUAAUAGCCCUGGUACCUCCUCUAUUGAGCAGACUAAAGAGAUUCUGUUCUGAGAGUUUUGGACAGACCUAUUUAGUUCUGAGAAUUAUCUUCAUAUUUAUCUGUCUCCAGAUACUAAUUCUAGAAACUGUUAAUAAAAAUACUAGUUUAUGUUGUGAGGAUAACAUAUC